ACUUGUCUUCCUCCGUAUUAUCAUUUUCCAAGUUCUUGACUGGACUUUGUUCAACCGAUUCUGAUUCAGGUAUGAGGCCUCUGCUAUUACUUUCUUCCAUGUCGUGGUGUCCAUUAUUCUCUCCUUCUGACUUUUCUUCCUCGUGUAUAUUCCCUUCAGUGACAAGUGUUUCUUGUUCAAUUGACAGUGGUGAGGUGUAUGUGUCAUUGCCUUGUUUGGAAACCUCUGGAACCUUAUCAUCUUCUUCAGAGCUUUUUUCACUUUUCCCUUCUUCAAAUUCACCAGACAGUUGUGAGAUGGAUGUAUCAUUGCCUUGUUCGGAAAUCUCUGCAACAUUUUCAUCUUCUUGCACGCUCUCUUCAAUUUUAUUUUCUUCAACUUCUCUAGACUGAUCAACAUUCUUUUCCAUCUCUACAGUUUGUUUUUCAGCAACCUCACUUGCAUUUGUUGUCUCGAGUUCCACACUUGACUAUAAAAGAAAUCAAGAUUUUACCUUUUUAAUAUGAUUAAAACAGGUUUUGAAAGAAGGUUCAAAAAAUGAAAUAGACAAGUAAUAACUUUAGCUAUGUUACAUAAGAGAUAAUUCAAAAGUUAAUUUAUUUUCUCACCUCCUCCGUGGCUGUUUUGCUGUAGUCAAUGUCAUUUUUCAUUUCCGCUUUUUCAUUUCCUUCUACCUGCAGAGUUUCUUCAAGUUUCUGAGUAGGUCCUUCCUCCUCAUCACCGGGGGAUUUAUCAGCAUCUGAAUUGAAUGCCUCAUUUUUUUCAGAUAUCUUAGACAAUAAUUGUGGAAGCUCAUCUCCUGGUUCAUUUUUCUGUAAAAUCGGGGUCAAAUCUUCUACAGUUUUUGAUGUUUUCUUUCCAUUGUCAUCUUUAACAUCAGCAGGCUCAGAAUAAUCGCCACUUUCUUCUGCGACCAUGGCAGGGUUUAUGUCCUCAUUUCUUUUCUCCUCCAGUGAAGAGUCUCCUUUCACUUUUGAAUCAUCAACAAUUUCUUUGGGGCUUUCUUUGUUUUUACUUGUCUCCUGUCCAAUGCUGUCAGUGGCUUCUGCUGUAUCUGAUUUCUCAGGAAUCUGCAUAUGAAUUUAAAUUUCAAAUAAACAAACUAGACUAUGAGCUAAAACUUGAAAAAGAAACAAGUAUCCUGCAAACCUCUCCUGUGGACUCCUGCUCUAAGUUCUUGACUGGAACUUCUUCAACUGAUUCAGGUGCAAGGCACCUAAUGCUGCUGUCUUCUGUGACCUGUUCUAUGUCAUUCUCUCCUUCUGAUCUUUCUGCCACGUUUCCUUCAGAGCUCUCAACAUUUGGUUUUUCAAUUGAUUCUGCUGAAAUGUGUGCAACAUUGCCUUCAAUGACCUGUCCAUCAAUGGCCACUACACUGUCCGUGAUCUUAGUUCCAUCAUGCACCUGCAUUGGCAGAAGGGGCUUCACCAACCAUUGUAAGAUUGAAAAUCAAUGAAAAUGUAAAUUAGCAUGUGAUUUUGUGUUUGUUCUUUCACGAAUAUUAUGAUCAAACCUCUUCAUGGGUGAUGUUAUUCCUCUUCUCAUUAUCUCCUGCUAUGCCGCUCUCAUCUUGAUCGGUCAAUUCUGGUGCAACCUCCAGAGGACUUCUUUCUGCUUGAAUAUUUUCCUUAGCCUUCUCAUCUCUGACAAAUACGGCGUUGUUGACUUCAACUGAGGUUUCAGCAUCAGCAACUGCAACAGUUAUUCGAGGCCAUCAGUAUCAAAUUGUUCCAUCUCUCUCUCUCACAACCACACAUGGAUAGUCAUUCACACAUCAAUUCACGAUAAUUUCAUAAACUGGUAAUUUGUUGAUACAUUCUAGAUUGCAGUUUGUACGCUCUUUGACAUAUAUAAAACUUAAGAGUAUCUUGUCAUCUCGCCAAGAUGUUGAUGAGGCUUUGAAUCUUCAAUUAUUUACUGAUAUAUUCCUUCUUGUUCCUUUCACAUAGAAGGUGCUAACAAAAUUUAUAUAAUAAUUACUUUUUUUCCUAUAUCUAACUUUUCAAUGCUAAAUUUCCAAAACACUUACUGUUUGCUAAUAUUUCUUCUGUUGUUGCAUCACAAGCCUCUCCAAUCUUCUGCGUCUCCUGAUCUGUGUUCUCCCCCUUGUCCACGAUCACAGAUGUUUUGUCAAAGUCUAAUCCAGAAGCCUCUUGGAGUUUCUUUUCAUCUGUUUCACUUGCUUUUAGGAUUAGUUCAGCUGAUUCUGCCUCUUCAAGAGGCGUCUGCUCAAUGAUUGUGGAAUUUGAACUCUGGCAGGCUUCAGGUGCAUCUUCAAUGUCCUUCUCCUCUUCUUUUGUGUAUGCUUCGUUUGCUUCCUGAAUUGUUCCUUUAGGUUCAGUUUUGAUGACUUUUUCCAAAUCUUUGCCUUCAGUUUCUCCUGCCUCCUCGUCCAACACUGGAAUGUCAUGUAAAUCACUGGCAUUUUUAUUUUGGGCCUCAACUUCUGCACAUUCUGUCUUCUCAUCCACUUCACUGACAUUCUGAAAUAAAAAUGGAACAUCUUUGAAACCUCUGAAAAUAUUUGAAAACUAACAUUUUUGUAUACUUUCGGUAAUAAAGGAAAUUAAAAAAAAAAAAAAGAGGGAAACUUCGAGCUGAUCAUGAUGUAAAUUUUUUAUCAUUUUAAACCUUUUUUUAAGAACUGCAUUAUCACUCACAGGUGUUAAGUCUACCUUCAUUUCUUUCUCAAGGCUUUCUUCCUCACUUUUGAUGGGUGUCUCCUUGUUGACUGUUGUAAUUGCUUCAGCUUGUUCAGUUUCAGCAGCUUUAUUGAACUCCUCAGCCAAUAAGUUCAAGGAUCCUUCAAGCUUCUCCUUUUUUGGUUUCUCCUGCUGCAAGUUCUCAGGUCUGUCCUCAUGGUUUGUCGUGCCAUUUUGGGUUUGCUCAAAGGCAUCA
rnacentral:lncRNA from 1 species